GGAAAGCGGCCUGAGACGUGCCUCGUGUCUCUUGCGAGAGACAUGGAGCUGGGGGGAGUGGGACCUCCUGGAUCCAGAGAAAGCCUUGGGCAUCUUGAGGACGUUUUUCUUCUGCUGACGGACAGAAAAAUCCUUCCGGGGGGACGGCAGUCCGAAUCUGGUGACGUCAGGUGGCAGGUGUUAGGGGCCGCUUUGAGUGGCGAGCUACGUGUGAAAAGGACCAGUUUGCAGGUCCACCUGUCACUCAACUGGCCUGUGAGCCCCCGAGGUCGGGGGCCCUGUCUUACUCUGUAUCACCCACUUCUAACUCAGUGUCUGGCACCCUUCAAAUGAAUUUUUCAAAUAAAUGAAUGAAUGGAUGGAUCUAUUGAAAUGAAUGAAUCCUUCAAAUGAAUGGAUCCUUCAAAUGGAUGGAUGGAUGAGGUUAGGAGAUGACUGGUGUGAAAGCAAAGGGAUAUACAGCCUUUUCAGAGUCCAGAAGACAAUUCUGAGAAAAAUUAGGCUCAGGAAAAAAAAAAAAAGAAAAAGAAAAAUUGUCGUGAGCCCGUUUCCUGAUCUGUAAACUGUAAGGCCUGGAGAAGCGAUCUCUCAUGUUCCUUCCAUGGAUACAGUGGACGCGGACGGGAACUCUCUGGCUUCCUGCUACAGAACCCCAGGAGACAAAACAGUGUGUUCACCUUGGGCUUCGUUGGUGGAUGUUUCUAUUCUUCUGGUCUUUCUCUGUUUUCAAGCAGAUCAAAGCACAUCUUGUGAAAUGUUUUGGCCCUGGAUUAGAAUUUAAGAUGUGCAAAGGUCAAGAGUUGAUGGUCAUUUAAAAAAAAUCAUUUUGACCCUGGUGAAUCGGGGGGCCACCACGAGGGUCAGAAGAGGCCAGGUGCAUCCCUGCCAGCCCCCCUGGAGACAUAAAGAUGUCCCAUGAGGGUUAGUGACAGCUCUGCAUCGACCCCCUGCCGAGCCGGAGCACCAAGCCUCCCUCUCUUGACUUAUGGGACUGGCCAGGGCAGUGACAGGAGCCUGGCCGAGGAGCCCGGCUGAAACCCUGGCCCG